rnacentral:miRNA from 13 species
UGCAUCAUGCGUAGCCUCCCCA